GUAGGGUGCAAGCGUUAAUCGGGAAUUACUGGGGCGUAAAGCGUGCGCAGGCGGUUGUGCAAGACAGAUGUGAAAUCCCCGGGGCUCAACCUGGGAAUUGCAUUUGUGACUGUACGGCUAGAGUGUGUCAGAGGGGGGUAGAAUUCCACGUGUAGCAGUGAAAUGCGUAGAGAUGUGGAGGAAUACCGAUGGCGAAGGCAGCCCCCUGGGAUAACACUGACGCUCAUGCACGAAAGCGUGGGGAGCAAACAGGAUUAGAUACCCUGGUAGUCCACGCCCUAAACGAUGUCAACUAGUUGUCGGGUCUUAAUUGACUUGGUAACGCAGCUAACGCGUGAAGUUGACCGCCUGGGGAGUACGGUCGCAAGAUUA
rnacentral:rRNA from 1 species